AAAUCCCUAUCUCAAAACAGCAAAAUACUACAUCCAGUAAGUUAAGACAUAUCACUUUGCAAUUCCAAGACAGUCACUUAUAUUUUGAAAUCCUUUAAAAACCUUAGAAGGGUACUUGACUAUCCGAACUUAACGAGAAAAGUUGCAACCCAAUAAGUUAGGGCACUACUUUUUCGAAAUUUCCAAACUUCAAGCAUUGCCUUUAUAUUUUUUUGAAAAUUUUUG
rnacentral:lncRNA from 1 species